GACGUGCUAAUCUGCGAUAAGCGUCGGUAAGGUGAUAUGAACCGUUAUAACCGGCGAUUUCCGAAUGGGGAAACCCAGUGUGAUUCGUCACACUAUCAUUAACUGAAUCCAUAGGUUAAUGAGGCGAACCGGGGGAACUGAAACAUCUAAGUACCCCGAGGAAAAGAAAUCAACCGAGAUUCCCCCAGUAGCGGCGAGCGAACGGGGAGCAGCCCAGAGCCUGAAUCAGUGUGUGUGUUAGUGGAAGCGUCUGGAAAGGCGUGCGAUACAGGGUGACAGCCCCGUACACAAAAAUGCACAUACUGUGAGCUCGAUGAGUAGGGCGGGACACGUGGUAUCCUGUCUGAAUAUGGGGGGACCAUCCUCCAAGGCUAAAUACUCCUGACUGACCGAUAGUGAACCAGUACCGUGAGGGAAAGGCGAAAAGAACCCCGGCGAGGGGAGUGAAAAAGAACCUGAAACCGUGUACGUACAAGCAGUGGGAGCACGCUUAGGCGUGUGACUGCGUACCUUUUGUAUAAUGGGUCAGCGACUUAUAUUCUGUAGCAAGGUUAACCGAAUAGGGGAGCCGAAGGGAAACCGAGUCUUAACUGGGCGUUAAGUUGCAGGGUAUAGACCCGAAACCCGGUGAUCUAGCCAUGGGCAGGUUGAAGGUUGGGUAACACUAACUGGAGGACCGAACCGACUAAUGUUGAAAAAUUAGCGGAUGACUUGUGGCUGGGGGUGAAAGGCCAAUCAAACCGGGAGAUAGCUGGUUCUCCCCGAAAGCUAUUUAGGUAGCGCCUCGUGAAUUCAUCUCCGGGGGUAGAGCACUGUUUCGGCAAGGGGGUCAUCCCGACUUACCAACCCGAUGCAAACUGCGAAUACCGGAGAAUGUUAUCACGGGAGACACACGGCGGGUGCUAACGUCCGUCGUGAAGAGGGAAACAACCCAGACCGCCAGCUAAGGUCCCAAAGUCAUGGUUAAGUGGGAAACGAUGUGGGAAGGCCCAGACAGCCAGGAUGUUGGCUUAGAAGCAGCCAUCAUUUAAAGAAAGCGUAAUAGCUCACUGGUCGAGUCGGCCUGCGCGGAAGAUGUAACGGGGCUAAACCAUGCACCGAAGCUGCGGCAGCGACGCUUAUGCGUUGUUGGGUAGGGGAGCGUUCUGUAAGCCUGUGAAGGUGUGCUGUGAGGUAUGCUGGAGGUAUCAGAAGUGCGAAUGCUGACAUAAGUAACGAUAAAGCGGGUGAAAAGCCCGCUCGCCGGAAGACCAAGGGUUCCUGUCCAACGUUAAUCGGGGCAGGGUGAGUCGACCCCUAAGGCGAGGCCGAAAGGCGUAGUCGAUGGGAAACAGGUUAAUAUUCCUGUACUUGGUGUUACUGCGAAGGGGGGACGGAGAAGGCUAUGUUGGCCGGGCGACGGUUGUCCCGGUUUAAGCGUGUAGGCUGGUUUUCCAGGCAAAUCCGGAAAAUCAAGGCCGAGGCGUGAUGACGAGGCACUACGGUGCUGAAGCAACAAAUGCCCUGCUUCCAGGAAAAGCCUCUAAGCAUCAGGUAACAUCAAAUCGUACCCCAAACCGACACAGGUGGUCAGGUAGAGAAUACCAAGGCGCUUGAGAGAACUCGGGUGAAGGAACUAGGCAAAAUGGUGCCGUAACUUCGGGAGAAGGCACGCUGAUACGUAGGUGAAGCGACUUGCUCGUGGAGCUGAAAUCAGUCGAAGAUACCAGCUGGCUGCAACUGUUUAUUAAAAACACAGCACUGUGCAAACACGAAAGUGGACGUAUACGGUGUGACGCCUGCCCGGUGCCGGAAGGUUAAUUGAUGGGGUUAGCGCAAGCGAAGCUCUUGAUCGAAGCCCCGGUAAACGGCGGCCGUAACUAUAACGGUCCUAAGGUAGCGAAAUUCCUUGUCGGGUAAGUUCCGACCUGCACGAAUGGCGUAAUGAUGGCCAGGCUGUCUCCACCCGAGACUCAGUGAAAUUGAACUCGCUGUGAAGAUGCAGUGUACCCGCGGCAAGACGGAAAGACCCCGUGAACCUUUACUAUAGCUUGACACUGAACAUUGAGCCUUGAUGUGUAGGAUAGGUGGGAGGCUUUGAAGUGUGGACGCCAGUCUGCAUGGAGCCGACCUUGAAAUACCACCCUUUAAUGUUUGAUGUUCUAACGUGGACCCGUGAUCCGGGUUGCGGACAGUGUCUGGUGGGUAGUUUGACUGGGGCGGUCUCCUCCUAAAGAGUAACGGAGGAGCACGAAGGUUGGCUAAUCCUGGUCGGACAUCAGGAGGUUAGUGCAAUGGCAUAAGCCAGCUUGACUGCGAGCGUGACGGCGCGAGCAGGUGCGAAAGCAGGUCAUAGUGAUCCGGUGGUUCUGAAUGGAAGGGCCAUCGCUCAACGGAUAAAAGGUACUCCGGGGAUAACAGGCUGAUACCGCCCAAGAGUUCAUAUCGACGGCGGUGUUUGGCACCUCGAUGUCGGCUCAUCACAUCCUGGGGCUGAAGUAGGUCCCAAGGGUAUGGCUGUUCGCCAUUUAAAGUGGUACGCGAGCUGGGUUUAGAACGUCGUGAGACAGUUCGGUCCCUAUCUGCCGUGGGCGCUGGAGAACUGAGGGGGGCUGCUCCUAGUACGAGAGGACCGGAGUGGACGCAUCACUGGUGUUCGGGUUGUCAUGCCAAUGGCACUGCCCGGUAGCUAAAUGCGGAAGAGAUAAGUGCUGAAAGCAUCUAAGCACGAAACU
rnacentral:rRNA from 1 species